AUGGUUUCCACUGGUCUGAGUUUAGAGAUGACGAAGAAGGUUCUUGGCCUGGCAUUGUGGGUCUGGAUUGCAAUCGGUGUAGUCGCUCUCCUGGUGGCCAUUCUGCUGAUGAUAUGUAUCUGGGCGGCGUCCCGUCGCAAGACAAAGAGAACCAUGGAGAACUUGAGCCAGACACAGAUCCCCAUCUACUCCAAGGAGAUCCCGGUAGACAGGGUGGGCGGUGGGCGCAGCCUUGCGCAAACGAUGCAUGAACGUGAGCAGCCUAGCUUCCCAACGCAGGACAAGCACGCCGUGAAUCGGGAGCCGGGGAAGACAGUGGGGCAUAUGGCACUGAGCAAGUCCUUGGAUCAUGAUAACGUGAGCCAGGGAAGCUCAGUGUGCAAUGUGGACCGGGUUGGUAGUGUGCAUUCUGGUGAAGAUGGCGGCUCGGGGCAAGGCAGGAAACCGUAUUCUCCUGCGGCGUUCGUCUCCGCGUCGCCCCUCGUUGGCCUUCCCGAGUUCUCUCAUCUUGGUUGGGGUCACUGGUUCACUCUGCGCGACCUUGAAUUCGCCACCAAUCGCUUCUCAAAGGAGAAUGUGCUUGGAGAGGGUGGUUACGGAGUUGUGUAUCGUGGCCGUCUGGUGAAUGGAACCGAGGUUGCCAUAAAGAAGAUUUUUAACAACAUGGGGCAGGCGGAGAAGGAAUUCAGAGUGGAGGUUGAAGCUAUUGGCCAUGUACGACAUAAGAAUUUGGUCCGUCUGCUGGGAUACUGUGUUGAGGGAGUGAAUAGGAUGUUGGUUUAUGAGUUCGUGAACAAUGGUAACUUAGAGCAGUGGCUUCAUGGAGCUAUGCGCCAGCAUGGUGUUUUUACCUGGGAUAAUCGCAUGAAGGUUGUUAUAGGCACUGCAAAAGCACUUGCGUACCUUCAUGAAGCUAUAGAACCAAAAGUUGUACACCGGGAUAUAAAGUCAAGCAACAUCUUGAUUGAUGAUGAAUUCAACGGCAAAGUCUCUGACUUUGGAUUGGCCAAGAUGUUAGGGUCAGAUAAAAGCCACAUUACCACCAGAGUGAUGGGAACAUUUGGAUACGUUGCACCUGAGUAUGCUAAUACUGGGAUGUUGAAUGAAAAGAGCGAUGUUUAUAGUUUUGGUGUUCUCUUGUUGGAAACUGUGACAGGAAGAGACCCUGUUGACUAUAGCCGCUCUUCCAAUGAGGUCAAUCUUGUCGAGUGGCUUAAAAUGAUGAUAGCCAACCGGAGAGCAGAAGAAGUGGUUGAUCCAAUCCUCGAGGUUAGGCCAACAAUUAGGGCUCUUAAGCGAGCUCUGUUGAUCGCACUAAGGUGUGUUGAUCCUGACUCUGAAAAGAGACCUAAGAUGGGCCAGGUUGCUAGGAUGCUUGAGUCUGAAGAAGUUCCAUUCCGGGAGGACCGGAGAAACCGGAGGAGUCGCACAGGAAGCAUGGACAUCGAAUCUAUUACAGAGGGAACAAAUUCGGCUGAAUUUGCAAUCAAGGUAGAAAGGACUGGCAGCUCAAGAUCAGACCGGUCUCAGACCUGA
rnacentral:rRNA from 1 species